rnacentral:rRNA from 1 species
UACGGAGGAUGCAAGCGUUAUCCGGAUUGAUUGGGCGUAAAGCGUCUGUAGGUGGUUACGCUAGUCGGCUGUUAAAGAUCAGGGCUGAACCCUGAGCAAGCAGUCGAAACUGCGUGGCUGGAGUACGGUAGGGGCAGAGGGAAUUCCCGGUGUAGCGGUGAAAUGCGUAGAUAUCGGGAAGAACACCAAAGGCGAAAGCGCUCUGCUGGGCCGAAACUGACACUGAGAGACGAAAGCUAGGGGAGCGAAUGGGAUUAAGGAAACCGAGUGAGUGCCCGACCAAAGUCCUCUC